GCCGGCUCCGGAGGCGGCAGCGGCGCGGCCGGAGCGAAGCGGCGGUGGGGCCACGUUGGGCGCCAGGCGGGAGCGGAGGCCGCCGCGGACCCCGCAAUCCCGCAGCCCGCGACUGGAUCCCACCUCUGCAGAGACAAAGGAGCUGCUCCAGAGAACACCAGCUGAAAGUAAAUGUCCUUGAGGGCCCCAGCAUUCUCCUCGUCAUUAAUGCAUGGGCAUGACCAUCCAGGCUUCAGAACCUGCCUGAAGGAGGUAACCCAUCCCCCUAUCCUUCAAGGACACCAUCUUUGGACUUCUAGCAAUGCAUUUAUAAAUACUUGCAUUGGAUGUCUACGGGUAGAUUUUCUACUAUUAACAUCAUCAUAUCCAAAGAAUCAGCAAACACCACGGAAGCAGAGGACACAAGCUUGGAUGUGAAAUAGCAACAUCUUAUGCAUUGAAGAAUAAUAAAACAAUGUU